AUGCCAGGCUGCGUAUGCUCCAUCUAUUUAACUUCUCCAGGGAAAGAGGGAUGGUAAGAAUAAACCAUGCAGGUUUAUAGUUGCCCUAGAAAGCAGAAACCCCUGCUAAAACCCGAGAGACCUCUACAGCCUUGGGCUGAGUAGGAUUUUAGUAGGUUGAGCACCUGAGCUCUGCCCUUAGUCAAAUGGCAGACAGCAUCACAGGGAAUGAGGCCACAACCCACAAGAAAGGUGUCUAGAACAGUACUACUCUGAGGAGGCAAGCAUCACAUAAGCAUUAGCCCUGUGGCCAUUGGUUACAGCAGCCAAAGCUGUAGAUAGGAGAAGCUCCUGUGUAUUUUGCCCUUGCAGUUGCUGUCCAACCUCUGCUGAUGGGAACCUAGAGUCCUCUGGUCUACUGGAGGCAUCUAACCUCCACUCAUUCUUCAAAUGCCUUCCUUUUCCCAUCCCCCUGUCUCCUGAAGCUCUGCUGGGAAUAAAGACAGUGAUCACUGAGAGCGCCCAGUGUGCCAUUCCUAUAGUACAUCCUGGGUAGACUCCAUGUCUCUUAUUGGCCACAAGGCCAAAUGCAAACAGAAGGACAAACACAGAGGGCCAGGGGGAAUUCUCCCCCUAGAGAGCUGGCCAAUGUGAAGCCACACUCAGGCACAGCAGUGGGCAGAUGGUUCUAGGAACAGGGCAUGGGGAAGAAAGACAAACUCCUAAGUUAUUUUUAGUGAAAAUGUUUCAUCUCCACAGGAGUGGUCUUUUGGAAGCUUUCUUUGUGAACAAGACUCCACUAACAUUUCUGAAAACAAGGCUGGGAGCGUAGCCAGUGUCAGAGCAUGCGCCUAACACGUGUGAGGCUGUGGGUGGUCUCCAACACCAGAAAAAUAAAGAUCCUUUCAGCUCGUUACCAAAUGCCUGUAGCAGCAGUAGCCGGCUUCACUCUGAAGUGACUAAGCAGCAUCCCCCGGGUGAGGUACCUGCUUGUUUUCUUUUUUCAGAGCUUCUACCAAGCACGAUGUGAAAACCUGAAGAGCAGCUAGUACUUCUGGGGCUCCGUCAGUUUCCAGCAGCACAAACCUGAACAAAGCAAAGGGAGGUGACAGCACCCUGCUGCUCCACACACAAUGCAAGCCCAUUAGUUCAUCAGACUGCAGCUCCUGAGUGAAGGCAGGAGGGAGCAGCCACCCUUCCAGCCUCUCUCAUAUGGCCUUCCCAUGGGUACUUCGGUGUUCACAAACCAGACAGUGCUAGCAACAAGUGUUCUGCUUUUACCAGUGAGGACAGAGCUGCCUGGAGAGUGGAGAUUCCAACACACACAGUCAGAAUCACCAGAGUGGGGCUGUGGAAUUAGAUGUCCUUGGUUUAGUUUCCGUGCCCUUUUACACAACUAACUUUUCUUUUUGUUUAAAGAAAGAAAUCUCAAACUUGAUUAUCCCGAAACAAAAACAAUAACAUGUCUUCUUAUACCUGUGGCCAUUUAAGUUAAGAGUUGGUAUGUUUCAAGAGCAACACAAAUGGUAAGGUAUUGGUUGUAAAAAUUCCUUUCCUGUGUUGGGGCUUGAUGGCGCUUGCCUUUAAUCCCAGCAUUCAGGAGGCAGAGGCAGAGGCAGGUGGGUCUCUGAGUUUAAGGCCACAAACAAACAAACAAACACUCCUUUUCUAGGUCUGGAGAAAUGGCUCAGUGGUUAAGAGCACUUGCUGGUUUUUCAGACCACUUGAAUUCCAUUGCCAGCAUCCGUAUCAGGCAGCUCACAACCUUCCGUAACUAGCUCCUGGGUCCAACACCUCUGACCUUAGUGUAUCUAUAGGAAUCCAUAGGUGCCAACUCUCAUGACUUCGGAGCAGAGCCAACUGGUGUGUUACACACUUCUUGUUACUGGUCCUUUAAACAAAGCACAAGUUCCUAGGACCUAGUCUUUCAAAUAAAAACACCAUUCUGCUGAAAUGUGGCGUUUCCUCUGUCUUUCAGAGAGUUCUUUCUGUUCAAAAUAGUUUUGUGCCUUUUGGCUUUCUUUAGGUCUGUGACAAAGCCCAGCCAGCCCUCAUGUGGUGAAGGGCUGUACUGCAUCUUUACUUGGAGCUGGGACAAACGCUGCAUGGAUAUUUCAGUACCCAAAUGAAUCCCACUUCUCUACCUCAUUUGAGUAUAAACAGGUUAAAGAAUGCCACCACACUCCGGAGGCUGUCUUUUCAAUGCACAGCAACUUCUGAGUUUUCACCCCUAACUACCAAGAGCGCAAACCUCUACGUUCCCACACCAGCCAGAGACCAACUGUUCCCAAAGACAGUAUAUUUACCUGAACAUUUCAUCAACAAUUCUGAAGAUGGCAGGUUGGCAGGCUGCUUGAGGCUAUAAAAAGAAAAGACCAUGAAACAGAGAAAUACAAGAGGAACCUAUCAAUAACAACUUUGGAUUAUUAGGCAAACGAGAAGUUUGGGGCUGCUCCAGAAAAGUGACACAUUCCAUUAGGUUAAGAAAAGAAAAAGUACUUGGUACCCAGAAAAACCCAUAAAAUGCCAGCAGUGGUUCUCUCUGAGCAUGGGCUGUGGGCAAACUUUAUUUACUUAUUUUGUAUUCCUGUUAUAUACCACAUUUUCUAUAGUAAGCCUGUAUGUAAGAAUAAGUUUCAUGAGUGGUUAAGAAGCACUUUAUGACAACAGGACUCAGGCCCUACUCAGCAGCACACUCCACCUGCUGACCUUCACCAUCCACCUCCCCACCAUCCUCGUCCCAUAGUUGGUAAUGAGCACCUAAGAAUCAGGUGGCCACCACUAUUGGGUACAGUUAGCAGUUAAUGGAAAGUACAGCCACGUGACACCCGGUGAAAGCUCCCCAAUCUUUUCUAGAAUACCCUGUCAGUAGGAUUUAAUGGUUUCAGUCUAUAGAAACUGGCUUCCUGAGGCCUAGGAAGAGCCUGCUUACUUAUAUUUUUAGUCAGAGCUUAAAACUUGAGUUUAUGAUAGAUUUUUUUAAAAAGCCUAUUUGUAUUAUAAAACAUUUCACAAUGGCAUCCAGAGAUAAGUAGGCCAGGCUCCAAUAAAGGGAAUUUCUGGAGUAAUUUUGUGUUUGCUAUGACUAGCUUUGGGAAACAUUUUUUUUCUAGCCACCUUGGAUCCUGUGCAUCACUUUUCUGACUUUUCUGAACCACCCUGAAGAAAGUUGAGUGUUUCUUUGGCUUUCCCACUUAAUAGUUAAUUCUGCCAUGGCAGCUUAACUUGCAACAUGGAGUAUGUGCCAUCUAGUGGCCAUACAUGACCAUUACAGGCUGCCACACAAAUGAUGGGAGGCUGUCCUUUUCAUCAAAGACAUUUAUGAUUUGCACGCUAAUGCUUUCUCCUUUUCAAAUAAAGCAACCCAUGAUCUCUAACCCUUUGUCAACGUACAUCUUUCUCCAAAUGAAGCAAACCUAAAAUCCUCAUAAACUUGUUACCUACUUAAGAAAUUAACAACAGAAGAAUGGCAGGUUAUUUCAUGGCUUUGAUCUCCAAAAGUCAUUUAAUCUGCCUGCUUCUCAGCCUCACUGUAAAUACUAACAGUUGUUCAUGCACUUGGACACAGGCCCAGAGAACACUGAAAGAGUUUCUAUGUGUUCAUAAUGGAAAAAUCCAAAC
rnacentral:lncRNA from 1 species